rnacentral:rRNA from 1 species
CCUACGGGUUGCAGCAGUGGGGAAUAUUGCACAAUGGGCGCAAGCCUGAUGCAGCCAUGCCGCGUGUAUGAAGAAGGCCUUAGGGUUGUAAAGUACUUUCAGUUGGGAGGAAGGCGUUGAUGCUAAUAUCAUCAACGAUUGACGUUACCAACAGAAGAAGCACCGGCUAACUCCGUGCCAGCAGCCGCGGUAAUACGGAGGGUGCAAGCGUUAAUCGGAAUUACUGGGUGUAAAGCGCACGCAGGCGGUUGAUUAAGUUAGAUGUGAAAUCCCCGGGCUUAACCUGGGAAUGGCGUCUAAGACUGGUCAGCUAGAGUCUUGUAGAGGGGGGUAGAAUUCCAUGUGUAGCGGUGAAAUGCGUAGAGAUGUGGAGGAAUACCGGUGGCGAAGGCAGCCAUCUGGCCUAAUACUGACGCUGAGGUACGAAAGCAUGGGGAGCAAACAGGAUUAGAUACCCGUGUAGUC